UAUCUUCAAAGCUCCUACACAA
rnacentral:misc_RNA from 1 species